rnacentral:lncRNA from 1 species
UGUGGAAAGUUUAUUGUAAGAGUGCAGCACGAAAAUUCAAUUUUUGGUCUGUCUUUCCUGCACAUCUUUCACUCUGAUCUUCCUAAAUAGAAGGAGCAAAGCUGCAGACUAUUUCAGAGCAUCAGCCUCCCAUGGAGAGAAGAGGAUAGAUGGAAAUGUGCGAGAAUCAAAGACAUUCUCUUGGGCUUCAUAAGGACUUUCCAGUGCAAAUCUCAGACUCCUUAACCACAGCAAAUAACACUGCUGGUCAUGAGACAGUCUCACAGACAGGGGAGAGGCAAGAUCAUGGUGAUUAGGAGAAAUGGAGGAUCUGUCUAUAGCUUCUGAACUGGUGGGAACAGAGAGGAACUGCCUUUCUUACCCUGUUCCAAUGAUUGGGAAAAAGAGGUCGUUUUUUUUCAAAACUUUUUUAAAGACUAGGAAAUAUUUUCAGGUGUGCAAAAGGCAAGUCUUUCUCAGCAACUGAACUGAAAGUGUGGACCUCUUCCCGCAAAAUAUCAUCUCCUGUGCAAACUGCUAGAAAUACUCUCUCGUCUGUUCUGGAUGGAAGAAGUCUUCAAAUCGCCUGCAGGGAGGCCUCUCAGAGAAGUACAAAUCUGUGGAUCAAACAUUAAUCAGGAUGUAGAAGAAGGUGGCUGGCUGGUUGUCCCACCCAGCUCAGCGGCUGCGGUUCUCUCAAGGACAUCACACGUAUGGCACCACUAGAUGCCACUGUCGAGACACAUUUGUUCUUUGAUCUGGCUUCUCCAAAAGUAUUCAGGAAAAUCACAUUAAAAGAAUGGCAAGAUAUGUUUAUUUGUAGCGUUUUGGGUGGUCUUAUUCUGAAAACAUGACAGGAAAACACAAUCAAAGAAGCUGAAAUUUCUAGCGAAUAUGGUAUAGUUUCCUGAAGUAGAACCAGGGAAAUAUCUUUUCAGACUACUCCAAGUAAGUUCAUUUUGUAUUUAGUUGUCUAAAUACUUACAGUACCAUUUAGAGACAGAAUAAAGUUCUUUCACCUAAUCA